AACUCGCCUGCAUGAAGUCGGAAUUGCUAGUAAUCGUAGGUCAGCAUACUACGGUGAAUACGCUCCCGGGCCUUGUACACACCGCCCGUCAAACCAUGAGAGUUGGCAACACCCGAAGUCGGUAGUCUAACCGCAAGGAGGACGCCGCCGAAGGUGGGGUUGAUGAUUAGGGUUAAGUCGUAACAAGGUACC
rnacentral:rRNA from 1 species